GUAGCGCAGCGGGGUCCCGGGCGGGGCGCAGCGGGCCGCGGGGCUCCGGGCGCGCUCCCCGCACUACUCCAGUGCCAUGGUGCUCCGGAGGAGCCGCUCGGUUUAGAGCUGGGGCUGGCGGCGGAGGGAUACUCCGGCCGGGAGCCGCCUCACCCCUCCUCAAACUUCCUGACAUUUGAACUCAUUGGUGCGCCUCGUAUCACUGCGCCGGGAUGAGCCGGCGGCUCCACGUCAAAUAGUGCCGUCGCCGCCCCCCCCAUCCCCGCGGGAGGGCUCCCUGAGCCCCCGGCCUGCACCCCGCACCGUGCCCCGGACCCGGUCAGCCAGCCUGCCCACCCUUGGCAGAAGUUUGGGUAGCCAUCGAAACAAAUCCUGUGCCCCACCCCUCUUGAAAAAUUGAUUUGGGAGUUGGGGAAAUCAGGCUUUCUUUUUUUUUUCUUUCUUGCCUUUUUUAUUAUUAAUAUUUUUGUUAAAAAAAAAGCUCCAGCGAUCAGAGGAGUGGCCCCGAGCGAGGCCAGACUGUGCAGACGGCGGGGAGCGCAGUGACUUCUCCAGGGGACGGCGCCAGGCGGAACGGCUGCCCGGGGACCCCGACUUGUCGGCGAAGCCGCGCACGGUCGUCCACGUGUCCGUGAAGCAUCCUUAGGGUUUUUGGCCUCCCAGUCUCUGCCUCCGUGGAAGAAUAAUACGACUGGACAGGAGGACACCGGCCUAGGCUCGGAGCCCAAGUCUCUCGCCUGGCUCUGCGGGAUCUCAGCCAUCGUUUCGGUACCAGCCAUUGCCCCCCUGCGGCUCUGAGACUCACAAGGCGGCUGAUCGCCCAGGCAGGCGUCGUCCAACGCGGGAUGCUUGCUGCCUCCAACGUCUUGCGGCAGAAUCUGCUCAGGACUGUUUCCACCUUAGCAAAGACAGAGGAGGCGGACUGCCAGCACCGCUGGGCUUGCAAGAAACAAACAGGAGGGAGCUGGGCUCUUCCUAUUCCCAGAGGCGCGCAGCUCCUGAGCCCUGUCCUGAGGCUUCUGGCUCUUCUCCUUUAGGACUUCGCAACCUCUCGGUAGGACCCGCCUCGUACGUACGUACGAGCGUACGAGAGCUCACAGGGUGUGUGUGUGUGUGUGUGUGUGUGUGUGUGUGUGUGUGUGUGUGUGUGUGUGUGUGUGGUUAGGGCUACACCAGUGAAACUCCAAUCGUUUCAUGCUUCUGACCAGAGUCGGAGAGAGAGGACUCUCUAGGUUUAGAACCCAUAGCUGGAGUCUCAGAUCCCAGCAUGAAUGAGCACCGGGCACAGCCUUGGGUGCACCAGUAAGAAGGAGAAUAUCAGAAACAUCCAGCCUGGCCUUUUUGCUCUGUCACUAGGACCAAGGCCAUGGAGCACCUAGGCACACCCCACGCUGCCCCCCAGGCUAAUGGAACCUCAAGAUCUAUGAGACUGAAUUAAAGCUGCCCCAAGCCAUGGUCCAGGUCGGGAGCACUCUCCGGGAGAGUCAGCCCCAGGUCCCGGGUGCUGAAGAAUCCGCAGACUCCGGAAGUGGAACAAGGGCGUGCCCAAGGCUCAGCAGAGGUCGAAGGUGGGCUAUUUCCAAUUCCCGAGUGACCAAGCACACCUCUGAGCAUCCCAGCUAGACUUAACCCAGGACGCACGGGUCAAAGGAUGGGGCAGUCACUUCCCACCACCCAGGAAAAAGCUCUGAGGUCAUCCUGUGCUGCUGGAAGCCCGCUUGGAGGUUCUCCAGAGAGGAGAGACUGGGAAGGGACCCUCGGGCUGCUUCUCAUUCUCCACUGGAAGCUUUUGAGGCUGAUGAGAGAGGGGUGCCGGACUUGCGGGUGACCAGUGUGUACUAUGCCCACAGCGGGAGAUGAGCCAAGUCCCUCAGCCUUCCAACAACCCCCACUCUGGCCAUUAGGUCGGACUAUUAGUCAUGGGCUUGCUCCACAUGUCAGGAAAUCGGGCUCCCUCAGAUCCAAAGGCUGCUGGCAGCCCUCGGGAAGGGCUGGAAGAGAAGGACACGGGCCCUCCCCAGGAGCUCAGGUCUCCCACCAGCUAGGCAGUGAUUAAGGGCAGAGAGUGGCCUGUCUCGGGAAGUACCCCAGAUCUUGUCUCAAGGGCUGGUUAGGAAACAUCAGAAUGGGAGACCUGCACCUCUGCACCUCAAUGUCCCUGUCUGUGCAAUGGACAUAAAAAAGGCAUCAAUUUUACAGGGUUGCUGGGAGGGUGAUGCAGACGCGCUCUUGGUGUGCCCAGCUCACUGUAGGGCUCUAGACUUACUAUUUGAUGAAUAAUUGUAUGGGAGGGAGAGCUGCUUCUUAGACAUAGGGGACUCUCUUCCUCCCCCUUCUUUUCUUCUUCCUCUAGAGCUAGAGGGAGAACAGACUUGUCUCAAAUUCAGUCCUGUCUGGUGUCUUCCUUCCCUCUGGGGCAAGAGAAGUCAAGAAGCUGGUCACAAGAGACUCUGGGCACUGCCUGGGCAUCCAGACGACCGCCCAGCCUUCUCCACUGGCUUUGCCAUGAAACCUGGGGCUGAGAGCAGCUAGCACUCCCAGUGAGAGCUUUGGGAUGAUGACGAUGAUGAUGAUGAAGAUGAUGAUGAUAAUGAUGGUGAUUAUUUUUAGCCCAUUGCUCAGAAACCCGUUAGGGGCUGGGAUAUGUAUGUGUGUGUUAUGUUUACUUUUACCAAGCACUUUUCUUAAGAAUCUCUGCAUUUCUUGCCAAAUGGAUGGUUUCAGCACCCAGUCUGUAAGAACGAGGGGCUCCCCAACCCAGGACAGGAGCCAGAACAAAGAGAAGGUGAAGGACCAUGUUUGGAGCCAUAAAAGCCUCAUUAGGAUCUCAAGAAUAACUCACAGAAUCGGACACAAAUUCACAAAAGCCAGGGAAUUCAUUGGUCUCCACCCUGAGGGUCCACGGCUGGGGAAGGGGGUGGGUGUGAGCCAGGGCGGGUGCCUCUCCUAUUUGAUCUCUAUCUUAAAUCCACUUCAAAACGCUGCGGCGCAGCCGAAUUGGAGGUUGGCCCCUUCCUGUAAUUAUUUGGUGUCUAGUAAAGUUUUUAUGAGUGUCUGUGCAAAUAAAUGCAUCUGAUGAUG